AGUAAUAUUUUAAAUAACUAUAGGUUCAUAUUGCUGGUUGAUUCUGUAAGUUACAAAAAUGUAAAAAGAAAAGAUUGUUUAAUACUAAUUAAAAUGAAUCUAUAUACUAUAUUUUUUUUAUUGACCAAAAACCUUAUGUUAGCUGUAUGACCUUUUGGCAGAGUAUAAAUGACUGAGAGUUGAAGUGGCCAUAGCUCGCCAGCAAAUCGCAUUUUAAUAGCUGCCAUGGUCAGCGUUUCUUUCCUUUUCGCCGUACCCUUUGGCCCCUUAAGUGUGAAAUUUAACCAGCUACCAGGAACCAAGAAGACUCAACGCAAACCGAACCUGAAAACGAUCAGGAAAAAUUAGGAAAACAAAGGAAAAACCCUCUGCGUGGCUGUCAGUGCAGUGCAGUGGCUCAUAAUGACUUGAUGCGGCCAAGCUGAAACUGAUUUAAUUAUCGGAUAGGAAAUGCUAUUUGGCCAUAGCUGUCGAUAUCAUUAGAUGCGGAUAGCUUGUUCUAUUGCGCAGACAGUUUAUAAAGUGUGGAAUGAAAUGUACUAUAAAUUUAUUACAGAAGAUAAAUAUUACUCAACAAGCCUUGUUUUUAUUUUGAAGUUUCCCUGUUUUGAGGUCGAUUAUUAUCCCUUUUAUUUUUUGGAGCCUUUUUUUUUAACCGCAUUGCAGCUCAUUAUCAUUUGACAGCUCACCUUUUGCAUCUACUGACCGCUUGUCAUAUUAAAUCGAAUAAUAGCUCGCACCUCAACACCGAUGGCCAUAAAGCAGUUAAAACCGAAGAAGGAAACGCAGUUACAUGAAAUGUGUCGACUUGCUGUGGUGGCUGUAAAAAAAAAAAAUUGUAAGCAAUUUGCACGCGAGGCGAUAAAAAUCAUCUUAAACGCGCGAUUAAUGUCAAUUUUAUCAAUAAAAUUAUAAAUAAAGACAUGAAAACGAGCCGAGUGCGAGAUAAGCGCGAAUGAAAUGCGAACUCAAGUCACAACAACCAGACACUGAGACACCACCAACAACAACAAACACAACAACCACAACAACAACAACAACCAUAACAACAACAACAACACUGAGUGCAACAACAAAUGCGAUAAGAACAGCAACAACAAACACAAACGCCAAAACAGCAGGCAAAUUAUGGAGUGUGUGGCACAGGCUCACGUUCCAUGGGGCAGCAUACGAAUGGCAAUGAAAUCGCACUUUAAAAUACCCUACAAAUAUUUUAUUUUAUAAUUAGUAACUUAAACUAUAAUAUACAUAUGACUAUGAUGAGAAAAUAUAGUUGGUUUGGUUAUGAGACAUAUAGAUAUUGUAACUAUGCUAAGCAUGAUUUAUAUAUGAUACACUAAGUACUCUUCAUAAAGAAAUGCUGUGAUUAAAAUAUUUCGAAAAUUUAUAAAUUUUUAAAUGGUAAAAUGGUAAUAAAAUGAGCCUGUAAAUUGCCAGAAA